rnacentral:tRNA from 1 species
GCGCCCGUAGCUCAAUGGAUAGAGCAGGAGACUCCUAAGCUCAAGGUUGUAGGUUCGAUUCCUACCGGGCGCG